GAGUAACACGUGGGCAAUCUGCCCUUCACUCUGGGACAAGCCCUGGAAACGGGGUCUAAUACCGGAUAACACUUCCUACACGCAUCUGUGGGGGUUGAAAGCUCCGGCGGUGAAGGAUGAGCCCGCGGCCUAUCAGCUUGUUGGUGAGGUAGAAGCUCACCAAGGCGACGACGGGUAGCCGGCCUGAGAGGGCGACCGGCCACACUGGGACUGAGACACGGCCCAGACUCCUACGGGAGGCAGCAGUGGGGAAUAUUGCACAAUGGGCGAAAGCCUGAUGCAGCGACGCCGCGUGAGGGAUGACGGCCUUCGGGUUGUAAACCUCUUUCAGCAGGGAAGAAGCGAAAGUGACGGUACCUGCAGAAGAAGCGCCGGCUAACUACGUGCCAGCAGCCGCGGUAAUACGUAGGGCGCAAGCGUUGUCCGGAAUUAUUGGGCGUAAAGAGCUCGUAGGCGGUCUGUCACGUCGGAUGUGAAAGCCCGGGGCUUAACCCCGGGUCUGCAUUCGAUACGGGCAGACUAGAGUGUGGUAGGGGAGAUCGGAAUUCCUGGUGUAGCGGUGAAAUGCGCAGAUAUCAGGAGGAACACCGGUGGCGAAGGCGGAUCUCUGGGCCAUUACUGACGCUGAGGAGCGAAAGCGUGGGGAGCGAACAGGAUUAGAUACCCUGGUAGUCCACGCCGUAAACGGUGGGAACUAGGUGUUGGCGACAUUCCACGUCGUCGGUGCCGCAGCUAACGCAUUAAGUUCCCCGCCUGGGGAGUACGGCCGCAAGGCUAAAAACUCAAAGGAAUUGACGGGGGCCCGCACAAGCAGCGGAGCAUGUGGCUUAAUUCGACGCAACGCGAAGAA
rnacentral:rRNA from 1 species